CCCAGAGCAGUAUACUGCAAGGAUGUGUUAGACAUCGAGCAAUUCUCCACAGUGAAAGGAGUUAACCUGGACCAAACAGAUGAUGAUUUCUAUUCCAAGUUUUCCACAGGAUCAGUGUCUAUUCCAUGGCAAAAUGAGAUGAUAGAAACAGAGUGUUUCAAAGAACUGAAUGUGUUUGGACCAAAUGGUACUAUUUCACCAGACCUAAACAAAAGCUACCCCCCAGAGCCACCCAAGAAAGGAUUGCUACAGAGAAUAUUUAAACGACAGCAUCAGAAUAAUUCAAAGAGUUCUUCAAAUUCAAAGGCCAGUUUAAAUCACCACAUAAAUUCAAAUCACGUAAGUUCAAACUCCACUGGAAGCAGCUAGUUCCAGUUCAGUUCUACGAAACAACAUGUUGCAUCCUUCCACUAUAAUCUAUGGCGCUUCUAUGGAUGAGAGAGCCUCCACCAUUGAGUGAAAAUAAAAAGAAUCUCCCCAAAAGGAGAUUUUCUAUCCAUUCCUUCCAGUGGAGCCUCGCAUUUUAAGAAGAAUUUUCCACUCAGGUCUGUUUUUGGAGGUGGCACUCAAGACUGUGUGAAUCAAAUUUGUCUCUUUAGAACAUUGCAAUAGAAAUUCAAUGAACAUGACUACUUGCACGUAUUUAACUAGCAUCAUACUAGAACUGAAUUUUGUCUUUAUUAUUUUUAAAGGAAAGUUUUGUAAAUUUCUCUAUUGUCUCAGUUUACAUUUUGUACAUUUGUAUUUAAAUGAAAGUCAGACUUUGGAGGUGUAUAUUUUCCAAGCAGCAGCUGUAAAGCCAUGUGUUUUAAGACAUUUUUUUAAGAGAAAAAGAAAAAACCAACAAUGUGACUCGAGACUUCCAGAGCCUCAA